UACGUAGGGUGCGAGCGUUGUCCGGAUUUAUUGGGCGUAAAGAGCUCGUAGGCGGUUUGUCGCGUCGGCCGUGAAAUCUCCACGCUUAACGUGGAGCGUGCGGUCGAUACGGGCAGACUUGAGUUCGGUAGGGGAGACUGGAAUUCCUGGUGUAGCGGUGAAAUGCGCAGAUAUCAGGAGGAACACCGGUGGCGAAGGCGGGUCUCUGGGCCGAUACUGACACUGGAGGAGCGAAAGCGUGGGGAGCGAACAGG
rnacentral:rRNA from 1 species